AGUUCGGACUGCAGGCUGCAACCCGCCUGCACGAAGCCGGAGUUGCUAGUAAUCGCGAAUCAGAAUGUCGCGGUGAAUGCGUCCCCGGGUCUUGUACACACCGCCCGUCACACCAUGGAAGUUGGGGGUGCCCAAAGCCGGCAAGCAAAUAUGCUGUCUAAGGCAAAACCAAUGACUGGGGUGAAGUCGUAACAAGGUACC
rnacentral:rRNA from 1 species